GUGGAUUGAUGAGCUCCUGAGCCAAAGACAUCCCAGGUCUGAGCAAGGCAAGAGCUCCAUCCCUGUUGCGUCAGGCCGAAUGGAAGCCAACACUUGCCAUGAAGUAAGAAAAUUUGUUUCAUGCCAUGGAAUGUUGAUACUAAAUGGAAGGAGGGGAAGAAAAGAGCACACAUCUGCAUGUUGGAAAAGGAGCGGUUAGCUACCUUCUUGCAUGUGCUGGCUCUCUUUGAACACCUCCAUCGCCACCUAAGAGACAAUGUGGAGAGGUGCUUUGUCCACUGCAAUCUGUUCCUGCAUGGGAUGACACUUGGAUGACUGGAGCAUGCUGGAGCCAGGUGAAUGAUGCACAGGGCUUCCCAGGCUUGGAGCUGUUGCCAGCUGUUGGGCUGCUGCUCUUGGAUUCACAGAAUCAUAAUCACAGAAACACAGAAUGGCCAGGGUUGGAAGGGACCUCAAGGAUCAUGAAUCUCCAACCCCCUGCCACAUGCGGGGCCACCAAUCUCCCCAUCUCAUACCAGACCAGGCUGCCCAGGAUUCCUGUACCUGCACCUGCCUGGUUGCUCCUGAGCAGAGAUGUGCCUUGCUCAGGGAGCAGGUGAUGUCAGCUCAAGGCAAAGUACAACAGGGUGGAAACAACAAAAAAUGAGCUGAGAGAAUGUUGUACUCGCACAGGCAGAUCUCUUAACACUCCAGAAUUAGUGACAGGCUGAGACCUAUGCUGUGCAGGAAGGAUGCAGGAAGAGGCCAUCUGUGGAAGCAGUGGGACACUUGUCAUCCCAGCGAGGCAGCAAGACAGAAUCUUCUUCCAGCAAAAGCCAGCAAACAGACGGAGCUUGCUUCCAUCUGCCAACCUCAGUCUGAAUCAAGCAGAAAGAGACAGAAAUCCCAUAGGACAUCUCAUCUUCCUAGAAGCCAACAUAGAGAAAGCAAGCCUCAGUCCUGAGCAGAAGAUAAGGAGCAGAAUGACCUUGCAUCUUCCAUCCAUACACCUGAGGUUAACAGUCAAGGAACCUGAGGCCAGGUGCAAAUCUCAUCUGGAAGCAAACCCUGCUGCUGGAGUGCUGGCACGAGGUGCUGGAAGGAGAAAGUACCACGGUGGCCAUUGUGACUCUCCUCACUGGUCAAGAGCACCUUCUUCCAUGCACAGCCUUCAGGCACUGCUGAUUUAUCUAGGGCUGGGAUCCAGCUGUUGGGCACGUCCACCCCAACCGAGCUGAUGAGCAGCACCAGCCAUGGAUCUUUGGUGGAGGAAUUGGUGUCCAACAGCUGAAAAGGCAGCAAUGCAAACUCCAGUCAGCCAGCAGCUCCCUUGAUCCAGCUGAGCAAAGCUGACAAACUUCAUUUUUAGUCCUCAUCUCAGGACCACAUGCUGAGAAGCACAGGGAAAUUAAUGUCAUUAGUGAGGAGAUGCAGGAGGAGGGCUCUGGCCAGCUGGGCUGGAAGCUCCUGGCUCAAGGUUCAGCUCCAUGGUGGUGCCCAUGGGCAGAGCCCCAUUCAACCUGUGUCCUGAAAGGACAUUCUGCACCUGCCUCCAAAUCAAAGCUACACCUUUGCUCAUAGAGAUGAAGCAGUGCAGUCUUGCAGAGCAUCUCUUUUCCUCUGGAAUAAAGAAUUAUGCACGUAUGAAGUAUUUCUGUAA
ensembl:lncRNA